AAGAUUGAGGCCACGUUCCUUGAUCGUUUAUUACAGGGUGUUCCACGUUUAUCCGAAUUGUGAUUUGCUUUAAUUUCGUUUCUAGGGUAUCGAAUUAGGUUUUCUUUAGACGCAGGUAGCAAUCGGAUCAGGAAUCGUUUGAUCUUGUUGCGGUGACCUCCCGAUUAACCCAGGGGCGGUGGUCCCCUUUGUAUGGAAACUCGGAGCCGGAAGCGGGCGGAGGCCUCCUCAGUUGCCCCUUCAUCUUCUCCCUCUGGACCAACCACUCGUUCUCAUAAGCGCGCACGUCUUUCUUCCUCUUCUACCGCUGCAACUGCCGCCACGACUCGCUCUCCCUCUUCCCGCGCUGCCGCUACUUUAAUGGACUUCACCACCACCGAAUCUUCUUCUGGUUCUCACCGCGAUCGCCGUUCCAGCAAAGCUAAUCAGACCACAACAAGUGACAGUCCGAAUCUCGCCUCCGAUAGGGGCAAAGAGAAAGAACGUGAUCCAAGUGUUCGUGACAGAGAUAGAGAUAAGGGUAAUAGAGACAAUAACAAUUCUAACGACCCUGAGAGAAAUUUAGGGUUGAUUUUGGAUACCUCCGGAGGCGAAGACGAUGAUAAUGAUAGCGAAGGAGGUGUAGGUAUUUUGCACCAGAAUCUGACGUCAGCAAGCAGCGCGUUACAAGGCUUGUUGAGAAAGCUUGGUGCUGGGCUUGAUGAUUUACUUCCGUCAUCGGGUAUGGGUUCUGCAUCUUCAUCUCAUCAAAGCGGGAGGUUGAAGAAGAUUCUCUCCGGGUUGCGUGCUGAUGGAGAGGAAGGGAAACAAGUGGAGGCGUUGACGCAGCUGUGUGAGAUGCUUUCGAUUGGGACUGAAGAGUCCUUGAGCACGUUUUCUGUGGAUUUAUUUGUUCCCGUGCUCGUUGGGUUGCUUAAUCAUGAGAGUAAUCCUGAUAUCAUGCUUCUUGCAGCAAGGGCACUGACUCAUUUAUGUGAUGUUUUGCCUUCCUCAUGUGCUGCUGUGGUGCACUAUGGUGCAGUUUCGUGUUUUUGUGCUAGGUUGCUCACUAUAGAAUAUAUGGACUUGGCUGAACAGUCUCUCCAAGCUUUGAAGAAGAUAUCUCAGGAGCACCCAACCACCUGUUUACGAGCUGGUGCUCUCAUGGCUGUGCUUUCGUACUUGGAUUUCUUCUCCACUGGGGUUCAGCGAGUGGCACUAUCUACUGCUGCAAAUAUGUGCAAGAAACUCCCUUCAGAUGCAUCUGAUUAUGUCUUGGAAGCUGUACCUUUAUUAACAAAUCUUUUGCAGUACCAUGAUUUGAAGGUGCUGGAGCAUGCUUCUGUUUGUUUGACUCGCAUUGCUGAUGCCUUUGCAUCUUCCCCGGAUAAAUUAGAUGAGCUUUGCAAUCAGGGCCUGGUUACUCAAGCUGCAUCUCUCAUUUCUGCAAGUUCUUCUGGAGGUGGGCAGGCUUCUUUGAGCACGCCGACAUAUACGGGCUUAAUUCGACUGCUUUCAACAUGUGCAAGUGGGUCUCCUUUAGGAGCAAAAACUUUACUUCUGCUUGGGAUCAGUGGCAUACUUAAAGAUAUACUAUCAGGUUCUGGCGUUUCUAAUAACUCAUCCGUUCCACCAGCAUUAAGCAGACCAGCAGAGCAGAUUUUUGAAAUUGUCAAUUUGGCAAAUGAACUUCUUCCUCCGUUGCCACAAGGAACCAUUUCCAUCCCUGCCAGCUCUAGUAUAUUUGUCAAAGGAUCUAUUGUGAUGAAGUCUCCUGCUAGCAGCUCUAACAAGCAAGAAAAUACUGAUGAAAAUGCUCCUGAAGUUUCAGCCCGAGAGAAAUUAUUGAGAGAUCAGCCCGAACUUCUUCAGCAGUUUGGUGUGGAUCUCCUUCCUGUUCUCAUGCAGAUCUAUGGUUCCAGCGUCAAUAGCCCUGUUCGCCACAAAUGUCUCUCAGUUAUUGGAAAACUAAUGUACUUUAGCAGUGCAGAGAUGAUUCAGAAUUUAUUGAGUGUGACAAAUAUAUCAAGCUUCCUUGCUGGUGUUUUAGCAUGGAAAGAUCCACAUGUAUUGGUUCCGUCCCUCCAAAUUGCAGAGAUCCUCAUGGAAAAACUUCCUGGAACCUUCUCCAAAAUGUUCGUCAGAGAGGGCGUCGUUCAUGCCGUGGACCAGCUCAUUUUAAUUGAUAAUCAAACUGCCACUCCUGCCCAAUUAUCUCCCCCUGAGAAGGAUAAUGAUUCUGCAUCUGGAACACCAUCACGUUCCAGGCGCUACAGACAACGCAGUGGUAACUCUAAACCUGAAGGAGGUUCUGUGGAGGAGUCCAAGAAUCAGGCAUCUUUAAAUAUUGGUUCACCUCCUAGUACAGUUGAAAUUCCUACAGCCAAUUCCAACCUUCGUACUGCAGUAAGUGCAUGUGCUAAAACAUUUAAAGAUAAAUAUUUCCCCUCUGAUCCUGGAGCUGUUGAAGUUGGUGUAACGGAUGAUCUUAUACACUUAAAAGGUCUUUGCAUGAAAUUAAAUGCUGGUGUUGACAAUCAAAAGACUAAGGCAAAAAGAAAAUCCAAAGCUUUGGGGUCUCGUUUGGCUGACUUUUCUUCUAGCAAAGAAGAGUAUUUGAUUGAUGUAAUUUCCGAGAUGCUAGCUGAACUGAGCAAGGGGGAUGGGGUAUCCACAUUUGAGUUUAUUGGUAGUGGUGUUGUUGCAGCCUUGUUAAACUAUUUUUCUUGUGGGUACUUCUCCCAGGAGAGGAUUUCAGAUGCAAACCUGCCUAAGCUUCGACACCAAGCUCUUAAAAGAUUAAAAUCAUUUAUUGAUGUUGCACUUCCUUCAAGUGUUGAUCAAGGGAGUAUCGCUCCUAUGACUGUACUGAUUCAGAAGCUUCAAAAUGCUUUAUCGUCUGUAGAGCGUUUCCCUGUAGUUCUCAGCCAUUCAUCGAGAUCUUCUGGUGGGGGUGCACGCCUCUCUUCUGGAUUAAGUGCAUUAUCUCAGCCUUUUAAGUUGCGGCUCUGUCGAGCCCAAGGGGAGAAGUCUCUCCGUGAUUAUUCUUCAAAUAUUGUGUUGAUUGACCCAUUAGCAAGUCUAGCAGCUGUGGAAGAAUUUCUUUGGCCACGUAUUCAACGAAGUGACACUGCUCAAAAACCCUCUGCAUCUGUAGGAAAUUCCGACUCUGGGAACACACCUAGUGGGGCUGGUGCUUCUUCACCAUCUACCUCAACUCCUGCUUCAGCCACUCGUCGUCAUUCUUCAAGGUCCAGAUCAUCUGUUAAUAUAGGAGAUGUUGCCAAAAAGGAAUCAUCACAGGAGAAAAGCACAAGUUCAUCAAAGGGCAAAGGUAAGGCUGUUUUGAGGCCUUCUCAAGAGGAGUCUAGAGGACCUCAAACUAGAAAUGCUGCUCGUAGAAGGGCUGCUCUCGAUAGAGAUUCUCCAAUUAAACCUGAAAAUGGUGACUCCACUUCUGAGGAUGAAGAAUUGGAUAUGUCUCCUGUGGAGAUUGAUGAUGCUUUGGUGAUUGAAGAUGAUGGUAUUUCUGAUGAUGAAGAUGAUGAUCAUGAAGAUGUGCUCAGAGAUGAUUCUCUUCCUGUCUGCAUGCCAGAUAAAGUACAUGAUGUUAAAUUGAGUGAUUCAGCUGAAGAUGGCACACCUGUGCCUGCCACAAGUGAUAACCAAACUAAUGCUGCUUCUGGAUCUAGCAGCAGAGUUGCUGCUGUUAGUGGUUCAGACGCUGCUGAUUUUAGAAGUGGUUAUGGCUCAAGGGGUGCAAUGUCGUUUGCUGCAGCUGCCAUGGCUGGGUUUGGAUCUGCCAACGGUAGAGGUAUUAGGGGAGGUAGAGAUCUACAAGGACGACCUCCAUUUGGUAGUUCUCAUGAGCCUCUAAAGUUAAUUUUUACUGUUGGCAGUAAGCAGUUGAACAGGCAGUUGACCAUUUAUCAGGCCAUUCAAAGACAGCUUGUGUUGGACGAGGAUGAUUGUGAAAGAUAUGGUGGUAGUGAUUUCACAUCUAGUGAUGGAAGAGGGAUGUGGAGUGGUAUCUACACAAUAACAUAUCAGAGGGCAGAAACCCAACCUGACCGAACAUCAGUAGGGGGUUCUGGUUCUUCUACAGCGCCUAAGUCUAUUAAAUCUUGUUCUCACGAUUCCAGUUCGGAUCCCCAGACUCAGAGGAUGUCACUGUUAGAUAGCAUCUUGCAAGGGGAACUUCCUUGUGAUCUUGAAAGAUCUAAUCCUACUUAUACUAUCCUGACACUGUUGUAUGUGUUGGAGGGGUUGAAUCAGCUGGCACCUCGUUUGAGAGCUCAGAUAGCUUCUGACAAUUUUGCUGAAGGAAAAAAUUUAAAUCUGGAUGAGUUGAGUACCCCCAGUUCUAGAGUGCCUUAUGAGGAAUUUAUUAACGGUAAGCUCACACCAAAACUUGCUCGACAAAUACAGGAUGCCCUUGCUCUAUGCAGUGGAAGCCUUCCUUCCUGGUGUUAUCAGCUGACGAAGGCAUGCCCCUUUUUAUUUCCUUUUGAGACACGAAGACAGUACUUCUAUUCAACUGCCUUUGGGUUGUCUCGUGCAUUAUAUCAUCUGCAGCAGCAGCAGGGAGCUGAUGGCCAUGGAUCAACUAAUGAAAGAGUGGUAAGGGUUGGGAGAUUACAGCGGCAGAAAGUUCGUGUCUCUCGCAACCGCAUUUUGGAUUCUGCUGCAAAAGUAAUGGAGAUGUAUUCUAGCCAAAAAGCCAUGCUUGAAGUUGAAUAUUUUGGAGAAGUUGGCACUGGAUUGGGUCCAACCUUGGAGUUCUAUACACUAUUAAGUCAUGAUUUGCAAAAGGUUGGUCUUGGAAUGUGGAGGUCUAAUUCUACAUGGGAUAAGUCAACAAUGGUAAUUGAUGGAGAUGAAGAGAAAAAUGAAAAAACUGCCGGUUCUGUUACUAUUGGGGGAGAUGUAAUCCAAGCUCCUCUGGGGUUGUUCCCUCGACCUUGGCCACCAAAUGCUGAUGCUUGUGAAGGAAGCCAGUUUUCCAAAGUAAUUGAAUAUUUCCGGCUACUUGGACGUGUGAUGGCCAAAGCUCUUCAGGAUGGACGACUUCUAGACCUGCCUCUAUCAACAUCAUUUUAUAAACUUGUGCUUGGUCAAGAGCUUGAUUUGUCUGAUAUUCUGUCUAUUGACGCCGAGUUUGGGAAAUUUUUGCAAGAACUGCAUUUCCUUGUUUGUCGAAAGCAGUACAUGGAAUCAACAGGUGGUGAAAAUAGUUCCGCAAUUGCCGAUAUACGCUUCCGUGGGGCCCCAAUAGAAGAUCUCUGUUUGGAUUUUACACUUCCAGGCUUUCCAUAUUACAUACUGAAACCAGGGGAUGAAACUGUGGAUAUCAAUAACUUAGAAGACUACAUAUCCUUGGUGGUUGAUGCAACUGUCAAGGAUGGAAUUAUUCGGCAAAUGGAAGCAUUUCGGGCUGGAUUUAAUCAGGUUUUUGAUAUUGCAUCAUUGCAAAUAUUUACCCCACAAGAGUUGGACUAUUUGCUGUGUGGUCGCAGAGAGCUGUGGGAGGCUGAGACACUUGCUGAUCACAUAAAAUUCGAUCAUGGAUAUACUGCAAAGAGCCCUGCUAUUCUUAAUUUACUUGAAAUUAUGGGAGAAUUUACACCAGAGCAUCAACGGGCAUUCUGCCAAUUUGUUACCGGUGCGCCUAGACUUCCACCUGGUGGUCUGGCAGUGCUGAAUCCAAAGCUAACAAUUGUUAGAAAGCAUUCCUCUUCUGCAAUUCCUGCUUCUUCCAAUGGAAGUGGAACCUCAGGAACAGCAGAUGAUGACUUGCCCAGUGUCAUGACUUGCGCUAAUUACUUGAAGCUUCCGCCAUAUUCAACCAAGGAAGUUAUGUACAAGAAAUUGCUUUAUGCAAUCAAUGAGGGACAAGGAUCUUUUGAUUUAUCGUGAUCCCCCGGUAUUAGGAACUGAAGUGUAGUAUAUUUCUGAACAACCACAAUGUGGGUCUACUUUUCUCAGCUGCUGCCAUCUUUUUUGAUGUUUUGAAGUAGCGUAUUAAUUAUGCUGAAACAAUAAUCGCUUCUCUUCACUGCUGUGCCGUAUAAUUAGUGGCAUCGGCAAAGCUCGGUUUCUACAUCAAUGGUGGAUCAUAAACUUGCAUCCUUGGCCAUUCCUAAUUCUGGAAUGGCAAUAAGACCAGCACUGUUGUAUGGACCAGUACUGCUGUAUGGAUCAAAAUGUUGGACAAUCAAGAAGGAUCACGUAAGAAUGAUGGAGGCUGCAGAAAUGAGAAUGCUUCGAUGAGCAUGUGGUAGGACACUGUGAGACAUGACACCAAACUCUGCAAUUAGGAUGUCCUUGGGGGUGGUGCUUGUAUUCGAAAAAUUGAGGGAGGGAAGACUAUGGUAGUUUGGGCACGUCCUUAUGCGACAACCGUCGGAUGCGGUCAGGAGGAUAGAGUCGAUUACAGUCGACGGUGCUAGAAGGAGAGGAUGACCAAGGAGGAAGUGGGUAGACUGCGUGAGAUCUGAUUUUAAAGAUUUAGCCCUUAGCGAGGACAUGACCUCUGAUAGGAAAGUAUGGAGACUUAAGAUCAGGGUUGCUGAGUAGUGUAGGUCACAGCCAUAGGGUGUAGCAUCUCUGUCUUCUUUUUAUGCCUUUGUUGUAUUUUUCAUGAAUUAUACUGUUUAUACGUUUCUGUCAUUGAAAUUUAUGAAGGUUUAGAACUAGGGUAGCAGAGUAGGGUUGCCUUAGUUUGGGUUUUAACCCAUUUGACUUUAUUCCUUCUAGUAACUUGCUAUCGUUGAUU